rnacentral:rRNA from 1 species
CUCUUGAGCACGGGAUACCAACCUAACUGGAACUCCCCUAGUAACGGCGAGUGAAGCGGGAAGAGCUCAAAUUUGAAAUCUGGCGGCCUUUGGUCGUCCGAGUUGUAGUCUGGAGAAGCGUCUUCCGCGCCGGACCGUGUACAAGUCCCUUGGAACGGGGCGUCAUAGAGGGUGAGAAUCCCGUCUUUGACCCCGACCGCCGGUGCUUUGUGAUGCGCUCUCAAAGAGUCGAGUUGUUUGGGAAUGCAGCUCAAAACGGGUGGUAAAUUCCAUCUAAAGCUAAAUAUUGGCGAAAGACCGAUAGCGAACAAGUACCGUGAGGGAAAGAUGAAAAGCACUUUGGAAAGAGAGUUAAACAGUACGUGAAAUUGUUGAAAGGGAAACGCUUGAAGUCAGUCGCGUCUUUCGGGACUCAACCUUGCUUUUGCCUGGGCGUACUUCCCCAGGGGACCGGGCCCGCAUCAUUUUGACCGUCGGAGAAAGGGCUUUGGAAUGUGGCACCUCCCCGGUGUGUUAUUACCCCUUGGUCGCAUGCGACGGUUGGGAUCGAAGGACCCCAMCACCCCUUUUUGGCCCGGGGUUCGCCCCCCUAACCRGGCUUAGGAUGCUUGCGUAAUGGGCUUUAAACCAACCCCUCUUU